rnacentral:rRNA from 1 species
UACGUAGGGUGCAGGCGUUAAUCGGAAUUACUGGGCGUAAAGCGUGCGCAGGCGGUUUGCUAAGACAGGUGUGAAAUCCCCAGGCUUAACCUGGGAACUGCAUUCGAGACUGCAUUGCUAGAGUAUGGGAGAGGGAAGGGGAAUUUCCGGUGUAGCGGUGAAAUGCGUAGAUAUCGGAAGGAACAUCAGUGGCGAAAGCGACUUCCUGGACCAAUACUGACGCUCAUGUGCGAAAGCGUGGGGAGCAAACAGG